UACGUAGGGGGCAAGCGUUGUCCGGAAUCAUUGGGCGUAAAGAGCGUGUAGGCGGCCCGGUAAGUCCGCUGUGAAAGUCCAGGGCUCAACCCUGGGAUGCCGGUGGAUACUGUCGGGCUCGAGUCCGGAAGAGGAGUGUGGAAUUCCUGGUGUAGCGGUGAAAUGCGCAGAUAUCUGGAGGAACACCGGUGGCGAAGGCGGCGUUCUGGACUGUAACUGACACUGAGAAACGAAAGCCAGGGUAGCAAACGGG
rnacentral:rRNA from 1 species